rnacentral:rRNA from 1 species
UACGAAGGGGGCUAGCGUUGCUCGGAAUUACUGGGCGUAAAGCGCGCGUAGGCGGCUUUGCAAGUCGGGUGUGAAAUCCCCAGGCUUAACCUGGGAACUGCAUUCGAGACUGCAUUGCUAGAGUAUGGGAGAGGGAAGUGGAAUUUCCGGUGUAGCGGUGAAAUGCGUAGAUAUCGGAAGGAACAUCAGUGGCGAAAGCGACUUCCUGGACCAAUACUGACGCUCAUGUGCGAAAGCGUGGGGAGCAAACAGG